rnacentral:rRNA from 1 species
UACGUAGGGGGCAAGCGUUGUCCGGAAUCAUUGGGCGUAAAGAGCGUGUAGGCGGCCAGAUAAGUCCGCUGUGAAAUCUCGAGGCUCAACUUCGAGCUGUCGGUGGAAACUGUCUGGCUAGAGUCCGGAAGAGGAGAAUGGAAUUCCUGGUGUAGCGGUGAAAUGCGCAGAUAUCGGGAGGAACACCAAUGGCGAAGGCAGCUCUCUGGGACGGUACUGACGCUGAGACGCGAAAGCGUGGGGAGCGAACAGG